CUUGUAAGGAUCAGCGAGUGUAGCCUCCUCGGACUCAGUCAAAACUAUUGCCGGCUCACCCAUAUGUAUAAAGGGUUCUUUAGCAGCAAACCCAGCAGUGGAAGAGUCAUCUAUACCCCGUAUAACCGAUGCAAACGACUUUCGUGAACUCCGUUCAGCUUGAGAUAGGCCCGGACGGCCAGAAACUGCAGUAGCAUAGGUCUUUCGGCCCUGAUUGAGCACUGUCUGGGCCUCAUGUGGAAAAACCGAUGAUGAAAAUGGAUUCAAAUUAACUGGAAGAACAUUCUGAUCAAAAGUUGUCGGAGGGCCGCCGGGACGCCGCCGGCCGGCCGCUAGCGGCUCCGUUUUCCGGCCAAAAUCAACCGGAGGCAGAAAUUUAUGAUUUUCAACAAUCUUGUGCGGAAUUUCAUGCUGAAUAACGCGGUCAGGCGCGUUUCCCGAGGUGAGAACCGUAGAGGCCGGAAAUCGCAAUUUUUCGACAAACUGCCCGUUUACGUUUGGUGCCGUAACAGGAGCGUCCGACCUCCGAUUGCCGUGAUUUUU
rnacentral:lncRNA from 1 species